AAGUGAUCCACCUGCCUCAGCCUCCCAAAGUGCAGGGAUUACAGGUGUGAGCCACUGUGGCUGGUCUGAUUGAGCUUUUAGAUAGCAAAGAAUGGAGAAGGAACGAAAUCAUGGAAAACUAAGGCCUGAAUUCCAGUCAGCCUCAUUCCCACUGAUACAAGCUUUUCCCUACCCCUCCCUUCCUUCACCCCCUCCCUUUAAUGCACCCCCACAAUGCAUUAAAGCUGCUUGCAUCCUACUCUCCUAUCCUGUGUAGGUCUUUAUCACCAGGACAGGGCUCCACAGAUAGGAAGUACCCAUCCUUUGUUCUGUGUCUGAUAUGGGCAUUUGAUAUGGUUAGAAGUGCUCUCACAUACAUGCAUCUCAUUAGACUCUCACAGGUCUGUAGGGAGCUGUUAUUAGGCCCUACAUCAGUGAGGAUACCGAUGCUCAGAGCUGCGAAUCAGGUUAGAGGUUCAGUAGGGCUAGGAACACUCCUCAUGGCAAAUGAGGACAGAGAGCUAGUUUAAAGAGGUAACUUUUUCAAAUGACCAUACAUCCUAUGCUGUGACCACAGUAGCUCUGGUGGGGACUGUUUUAGUCUUUUUGCCUAAUUGAUUACAGUUAUAUUUCUAAACUGGUGUCCUUUGAUGAUGGCAUCAUCAGAAGAUCAUUUGUAAUAGUGAUAAUUAGGGGAACGUCCCUGAGAAGGAAUAUGGGUAGUUAGUAGUAAUCAUAUGUUCCACCCAGGCUUUGGGGGAAGUGUUAAAAGGAAGUCAAGAUAUUGGAGAAGCAUCAUUUUGCAGAGUCAGUGUAAUUGUAACCUGGUCUGUGAUUUCGGAGAAUUAAAGCCUUCCUGCCUAAGAACCACCUGCCUAGUAGUCACUCUUCUACACUCCUCUAAAAUGUGACAGCCCUGCUCUUUUUGCCUGCUGUCAUCCACAUAAGAUGUAACUUUCUCCUCUUUGCCAUCUGCCAUGAUUGUGAGACCUCCCCAGCCAGAUGGAACCGAAGUGGAGUCUCUGGAGCCGCCCAGCAGCAGCCUCAUUACUCAGAAGAUGCUGAGGAAAACCUAGACGGGAAGAAAGGAAGAAAAAGCGUCCUCUAUGUUUAUAAAGUGUCACUGGUGACUGAAAUGGCAUCCUCUCUGAAGAUCUGGGGCAGUCCCUUGGCCCUGCUUUGCAUUCUUUGCAGGCUGCUUGUACAUAGCAAGGACGUUUCCUGGAAAGAAUUCAUGACACUGCACUACUUAGAUCCAAGCCGAGAUUUUGAAGACUGCAAAUGUGAUGCCCUCAUGAGAGAAAAAGCGGUUCUGAAAGACAAGAGCUCUUAUAUGUCCAUCUAUAGCUUAUGGCACAAAAUGGAGUAUAUAUGCAUUAUUGAAGUGGGAAUAACUGAUGUAGAAAUGCCUAUGUAUGGGCCCAGGGUGCCAUCAAAGUACUCGAGUGUCAGUGGGAGAAGUACAACAAUAGCUACACAGAGAGCUUCAACUACAUUGAAUUCCACUGUUGCAAGGAUGGGUAUGUUGAUAGCAUAGGAGACCUGAGGAUGGUGGAGCCUGUCAACAACUAGAAGAUCUAUGCAUAUCCUCAGGAAUUGGUAUUCAGUGCUUCCCAAGUGGUGGCCACUGCCUCCAUCAAUAGCCCCUGACAUUGCACUUAUGUGUCAGUGUUUUCCAAAACUUAGAAUUAUGAGUCGCAUCACUUCUUGAUACCAUAACCUUGCCUGUGUUGUUUCUCUGCCUGGAAUACACUUUUGUCUUCAUUUACCUAGUUUAUUCCUACACAUUUGUCAAGCUUCAGCUUGUAAUGCAUCUGAUGUUUGAUAACCAAGAUUUUUCCUGAUAUUCACUCUAAACCUACCCAGGGUGAAUGAUCUUCCCUUCCCUAAAUAAAUUGUAUUAUCCAA